GGCGGCGUGCCUAAUACAUGCAAGUCGAACGAGUUCUCGUUGAUGAUCGGUGCUUGCACCGAGAUUCAACAUGGAACGAGUGGCGGACGGGUGAGUAACACGUGGGUAACCUGCCCUUAAGUGGGGGAUAACAUUUGGAAACAGAUGCUAAUACCGCAUAGAUCCAAGAACCGCAUGGUUCUUGGCUGAAAGAUGGCGUAAGCUAUCGCUUUUGGAUGGACCCGCGGCGUAUUAGCUAGUUGGUGAGGUAAUGGCUCACCAAGGCGAUGAUACGUAGCCGAACUGAGAGGUUGAUCGGCCACAUUGGGACUGAGACACGGCCCAAACUCCUACGGGAGGCAGCAGUAGGGAAUCUUCCACAAUGGACGCAAGUCUGAUGGAGCAACGCCGCGUGAGUGAAGAAGGCUUUCGGGUCGUAAAACUCUGUUGUUGGAGAAGAAUGGUCGGCAGAGUAACUGUUGUCGGCGUGACGGUAUCCAACCAGAAAGCCACGGCUAACUACGUGCCAGCAGCCGCGGUAAUACGUAGGUGGCAAGCGUUAUCCGGAUUUAUUGGGCGUAAAGCGAGCGCAGGCGGUUUUUUAAGUCUGAUGUGAAAGCCCUCGGCUUAACCGAGGAAGCGCAUCGGAAACUGGGAAACUUGAGUGCAGAAGAGGACAGUGGAACUCCAUGUGUAGCGGUGAAAUGCGUAGAUAUAUGGAAGAACACCAGUGGCGAAGGCGGCUGUCUGGUCUGUAACUGACGCUGAGGCUCGAAAGCAUGGGUAGCGAACAGGAUUAGAUACCCUGGUAGUCCAUGCCGUAAACGAUGAAUGCUAGGUGUUGGAGGGUUUCCGCCCUUCAGUGCCGCAGCUAACGCAUUAAGCAUUCCGCCUGGGGAGUACGACCGCAAGGUUGAAACUCAAAGGAAUUGACGGGGGCCCGCACAAGCGGUGGAGCAUGUGGUUUAAUUCGAAGCAACGCGAAGAACCUUACCAGGUCUUGACAUCUUUUGAUCACCUGAGAGAUCAGGUUUCCCCUUCGGGGGCAAAAUGACAGGUGGUGCAUGGUUGUCGUCAGCUCGUGUCGUGAGAUGUUGGGUUAAGUCCCGCAACGAGCGCAACCCUUAUGACUAGUUGCCAGCAUUUAGUUGGGCACUCUAGUAAGACUGCCGGUGACAAACCGGAGGAAGGUGGGGAUGACGUCAAAUCAUCAUGCCCCUUAUGACCUGGGCUACACACGUGCUACAAUGGAUGGUACAACGAGUUGCGAGACCGCGAGGUCAAGCUAAUCUCUUAAAGCCAUUCUCAGUUCGGACUGUAGGCUGCAACUCGCCUACACGAAGUCGGAAUCGCUAGUAAUCGCGGAUCAGCACGCCGCGGUGAAUACGUUCCCGGGCCUUGUACACACCGCCCGUCACACCAUGAGAGUUUGUAACACCCGAAGCCGGUGGCGUAACCCUUUUAGGGAGCGAGCCGUCUAAGGUGGGACAAAUGAUUAGGGUGAAGUCUACGGGGGUGCCCCCAAAAAA
rnacentral:rRNA from 2 species